AUACCUAGGCUUUCUGGAUUAUUAAUUAGGAAUAGUAAUCGCUUAGCAAAUUCUGCAACGGAGGAUGGGCGACGUCCUAGGGAAGAUAAAAGGUGAUCCGGAUAUUGAACGAGAUCGGGGAAUCCAAACUCGGGAAGAUCAGCUCGGGAAUGACCUGCUAAAAUACACGAGGAGUGCAGAACAAGGCAUAGAAUACCACAACAAGAAGCACGAGGGUGCUAAAUUUAAGCUGGUGGAGAUCAUAUCUGCAUGUUCUUUCUUUUCUAUGGGUGUUUGGGAGCAUAUCAACUUCACUGCUUCUGAAGAUGACAAGUCUCUGAAAUUGUUUUUUGCUGAAUUGUCACAUGGAGAAGCUCAUUGGGGAAGGAAUCAUAAUACAGAGGCCGAAAAAAUCACUGCAUGUUGUUUGUUGGAAGAAGGGUCUACCAAAGAUUACUGUGGAUUUUGUCCCCAUGAAGACAAAGUUUAUCACCCUCUUCAGGGAUUUACAGCAGGGAUUCGCUGGUGAUUUUCUUGCUUUUUGUUGAGGAGCUUCCUUCAACCAAUAUGCCGAAAACUAUAAUGAAGCGCAACCUUAUUCCCACCCAAUAGUAUCCUACCCUACACCCCUUCAGCUAGCAAACGAAUUGUCAGUUUUAAUGGUCCAUGUGCAUGUUUGAAUAGCUGUCUUGCGAAUUUGUAUGUUGUUGUUGCGGUAUCUUUACAAUGGAAAGAAAUGAAAAGAAACUAAGCUUGCGAGUUUGAAUGAGCUUGAAAUAUUUUUCAUUUGAAGGAUUAUGAGUGCACUAAGCUUAUUUUAAAGUGUUUGUGUGGCAUCGUCUUUCUUCGAUUUCUAUAAGCAGGCUUGUGGAUUCUUGAAUGAAGGGAAGGUGUCAUUAUUCCAGUGUUUCAACCUUGAUCCCCAGCACCUUAAGGAUAGGUGUGGACCUUGGUAGAGGAAAAUGAGUCCAGAUUAUUUGGGGGAUUCAAUCGGCUAACUCCCAGGAGAAAUUGUUGCUUCCAUUGUGUCCCGCUUGAGAAUUAGAGAAGCAGGAAGAACUAGCAUCCUUUAGGGUAGAUGGAAAAAUGCGUGGACAAUGACCGCUUGCUUACACUUUGAUGGUACAAAUUCAAUGCGAGAUGUCUGCCUGAAUGAGGAACUGUUGACUACGUGAGUGUGUAUGAUGGAUGAAUCAAGUGUCUGCCUCAAUUACAUGCCCCCUUUUAUAUGUAUGUAUGUAUGUUUGUUAUAUGCAUCCACUGUGUAGUUGUAGGUCCAAUUCAGAAACUGAUUUGAAAGGGGUCAUUGAAUCAACCCGCGGGUCAUGGAUUCAAUUUUUUGCUUGGGGUGUAAUGCACUAUAAUAUAACAUUCGGCUUCA